GUAAUAAUAUUGAUCGACACCUUAACUACUAAUAAUGACGGGCAAGAGGUGUGCCCCAGAAGGAAAGCUGCGGCCUUGAGCAACCCUUUGCUGAGGCACUAAGCCCCGCCCAGAGCUAGCAUUUCUACCCAAUCAUGAGAGGUUCUGAGCCGUCCAUUACUAUCUGCUCUUCAAACCUCGGCCCUGGUAACUGUUGAGAUGGGAGGGGUGUGCUAUGAAAAUGAUUGACGUCUAAGCGGUCAGUGACACGGAUGGAAGGCGGGCUCUCGUAUUUGACCAAUGGAGUCAUGAGACUGGGAAUGAGGUUGGCGUCCCGGGCGGUAGGACUUAAGGCCCUGGGCUGAAUGAAAUGGAGGAGUUAAUGAGGAGGCGUGUCCCAGGCAAGGAAUAGGCGGGAUCAGACAAGGGCCGGGAUCUUGGCUUAGGUUUUAGAACCGGCGUAUCUAGAAAGCUCCUCUUCAGAGCCAGGAUCAGUGUGGCGGGCGGGUGAUUAGGUCAGGUCCUACCCUUGCUGGGCGAAUCUGGCGUCAAAACUCCCGAUUAUAUCCCUCACCUGUCCCAACCAUUCUCUCUCCUGGGGCGGAGAGGGGAUGGGGCGUGGAGCAUCGGAGGGGAUGUCAGGUCUCCUUUAGGUCCAGAGCCACGCACGUAAGAGCUGCCUGUAAAUGCUUGAAGAAUGAAUGAAUGGGACUACGAUUCUUUUGCCAAACUCCUCCUCCUUGUCCUCCUUUUUCUCCUCCACUUUCUCCUCCCACUUUCUGAGUUUUUUUUUUUUUUUUGUUUUUUUUGUUUUGGAGAUAGUCUCUUGUAGAGCAGCAUGGCCUCAAAGUUUUCUAUGUAGUAGAGGGUGACUUCGAACUCCAGAUCCUCCCACCUUCACCUCCCACUCACCACCUUGGCCGGAUCCUAGAUUCUUUUAAUAAGAGCAGGGGAGGCUCAGAGGCAGCUGUGUCACCAAAGCAACACUCCAGGAUGAUCGAGGACUCCAGAAAGCUGCAGCCUGAGAGAUCUCUGCAGGACUCGUAGGCCAUGCCAUAGGAUGUGCAGGGAUAAAGAUGGAGCAGAGAUUGAGAGAAUGGCCGACCAAUGACUGCCCAAGGACUUCCUGAACUCUGCCUGAUGUUUGGCUGUGGGUCACUGCGUCUGCCUCCAUCUGCUGCUGAACGAAGCCUCUCAGAAGACAGUCAUGCUAGGCUCCUGUCUCCGAGCAUAGCAUCAUUAAUAGUAUUAAUGGGUCUCAGACUGGGGCAGUCGUUGGUCGGCUGCUCCCUCAGUCUCGGCUCCGUCUUUAUUCCUAAACAUCUCGUAGGCAGGACACAUUUUGAGCUGGAGGUUUUAUGGGUGAUUGACAUCCCCCUCCCUCCCUCUGGAAGUCCCACCUGGCUACAGGAGGUGGCCACUUCAGCCUCUAUAUCCAGUUAUACCAGUCCUAGGUAUAUACCCAAAAGAUGGUCCAUCUGCUCAACUAUGCUUAUAGCAACUUUAUUCAUAAUAUCUAGAAACAUCCUAUAUAUCCCUCAACUCAAGAAUGGAUAAAGAAAAUGUGGUAUGCCCACACAA